rnacentral:rRNA from 1 species
GAUGAACGCUGGCGGCGUGCCUAAUACAUGCAAGUCGAGCGAACAGACGAGGAGCUUGCUCCUCUGACGUUAGCGGCGGACGGGUGAGUAACACGUGGAUAACCUACCUAUAAGACUGGGAUAACUUCGGGAAACCGGAGCUAAUACCGGAUAAUAUAUUGAACCGCAUGGUUCAAUAGUGAAAGACGGUUUUGCUGUCACUUAUAGAUGGAUCCGCGCCGCAUUAGCUAGUUGGUAAGGGAACGGCUUACCAAGGCGACGAUGCGUAGCCGACCUGAGAGGGUGAUCGGCCACACUGGAACUGAGACACGGUCCAGACUCCUACGGGAGGCAGAAGUAGGGAAUCUUCCGCAAUGGGCGAAAGCCUGACGGAGCAACGCCGCGUGAGUGAUGAAGGUCUUCGGAUCGUAAAACUCUGUUAUUAGGGAAGAACAAAUGUGUAAGUAACUAUGCACGUCUUGACGGUACCUAAUCAGAAAGCCACGGCUAACUACGUG